AAUAGUGAGCACGGUUAGCAGCUGAUGCUUAUGGUGCUCCAACAGUGCUAGACAGGAUUAAUAGCAGGCUACAGGCUGAUAAUACUCCCAUAUGAAUGGAGAAAUAGCGGUUAGCGGCUAAUGCUAAUACUGCUCCAGUCUCGGUGCUGUAGAACUAAACUGAAACCCCUGUAUAACUCUGUACUUCAGCAGAGUGACUUUACUGCUCCUUAAUACCUGACUGACAGAAUUCAUACAUAAGGAGCACCGGAUUAUAAGGAGCUCUGAUGAUUUUGGGGAAAAUUAAAGGAAUUUAGGUGCAUGUUAUUGUGCAAAAAGAAAUUAAUGCUAAUCUGAUUUGUUCACAUCGUUUAUAUUGGGGGGAAAAGAGACAAAGAGAGAGUUUCUUACUAAUGAAUGUAAGAUUAUGGGAGUUGUAGUGAGAGCUGAUAAUAGUGGGUGCAGGUGAAUUAUGGGAGUUGUAGUGAGGGCUGAUAAUAGUGGGUGCAGGUGAAUUAUGGGAGUUGUAGUGAGGGCUGAUAAUAGUGGGUGCAGGUGAAUUAUGGGAGUUGUAGUGAGAGCUGAUAAUAGUGGGUGCAGGUGAAUUAUGGGAGUUGUAGUGAGGGCUGAUAAUAGUGGGUGCAGGUGAAUUAUGGGAGUUGUAGUGAGGGCUGAUAAUAGUGGGUGCAGGUGAAUUAUGGGAGUUGUAGUGAGGGCUGAUAAUAGUGGGUGCAGGUGAAUUAUGGGAGUUGUAGUGAGGGCUGAUAAUAGUGGGUGCAGGUGAAUUAUGGGAGUUGUAGUGAGGGUCUGAUAAUAGUGGGUGCAGGUGAAUUAUGGGAGUUGUAGUGAGGGCUGAUAAUAGUGGAUGCAGGUGAAUUAUGGGAGUUGUAGUGAGGGGCUGAUAAUAGUGGGUGCAGGUGAAUUAUGGGAGUUGUAGUGAGGGGCUGAUAAUAGUGGGUGCAGGUGAAUUAUGGGAGUUGUAGUGAGGGGCUGAUAAUAGUGGGUGCAGGUGAAUUAUGGGAGUUGUAGUGAGGGCUGCUAAUAGUGGGUGCAGGU